rnacentral:rRNA from 1 species
UAAAGUCAGGGACCGUAAGGCCUGACGCUAUGAGGAGUUCGCGGCCUAACAGCUAGUUGGCGAGGUAACGGCUCACCAAGGCAAAGACGGGUAGCUGAUCUGAGAGGAUGAUCAGCCACACUGGAACUGAGACACGGUCCAGACACCUUACGGGUGGCAGCAGUUUUCGAAUCAUUCACAAUGGGCGAAAGCCUGAUGGUGCGACGCCGCGUGAGGGAUGAAGGUCUUCGGAUUGUAAACCUCUGUCACUAGGGAGAAAACGCUUUGAGUUAAUAGUUCAAAGCCUGAUUUAACCUUGGAGAGGAAGCAGUGGCUAACUCUGCGCCAGCAGCCGCGGUAAU